AGCAGGCAUGGAGUUUAGAUUCUCGAAAAGGUGCAAACCUGCACGUAGCACUACAGUAAUCUUGUUGUUUCUUAUUGAUAACAAGAGAAAGUCUGCUCCAUCGAAGAAAAUAAGAAUCUUAUCUUAAUUUUGUAUCAAUAUGGAGUUUGGAAGAACAAAGCUAAAUCAACAAGGGACAUUCCUAAAUUCCCAAUUGAAUGCACCUGCUAAUGAUAAGAGAUUUCUCGCCCACAUUACUGAUAGCGAAAAAUGGCAAUAAAAGGUCGAGAAAUUUUAGGAGGUUCAGUCAGCCAGAAGGGUCAGCCAGGCAGAAGAGUCGGUGGGUUCCGAGAGGCAGUCAAAAAAAGGACAGACAGGGAGAGACAAGAAAAACCUCAAGCAAGCUAAGCCUUUUCCCAAGUUACCUGAUCAUUGAAAAGGAGAACCUGAAGUUUGGUAUGUUCAUAGACGAAAAAAGAAACAAACCAGUCUACACACAGUAAAGAAGAAAGGUCCUGCAAAGUGUUAAGUAUUGAGUGAAAUAGACUAAAGACUGUGCUGCCAAAUAUUGGACUAAAGACUGUAAAAGAGUCUUCGACUACAUCGAU
rnacentral:lncRNA from 1 species